AGCAAACAGCGGAUGUGUAGUUCCUCUCCUCGCCGAACCCGGUUUUCCAUUUCUGCAGAGCAGCGCGACCGAUUCCCGGUUUCCCCGCCGCAACCACCGUUACCCCCCCAUCCCGGGCGACUCCAGCGACGUCACCGGUUCAGGUCCUGACCUUUCGGCGAACCGCGGAACCGCAGACGACCUGUUCGACGUCAUCACUCCCCGCCCGGAUGUCGCUGACAUCACCCAGCACGUGCCUGCGCUGGCACCGCGUCGUCCUGGCAAGCGCCUCCCCGCCGCGGAAGGAGAUCCUGGGGUUCGCCGUGCCCGGGCGAGACGUGUCGGCGGGGUUUCACGUGAGUGACACUUGGUCCCCACGGGACUGACAGUGACUAGCGUUGUGGCAUGUGAGUGACCUGUUUUCCCAAGAGGCACUGACAGACAGGCCAGGGGCGGAGCCUGAGCGAGGGCUGGGCGUGGCUGAGUGUGAGUGACAGGGGCCUGGGGCGGGGCCUGGACUAAGCUCCAGCAAGAGACAUAGAUUUGCAUGGGGUCUAAGUUUCAUUGCUGCUCGUUUGCAUGAAUUUGCGUGAAUUUGAAUAACUGCUUGGUUUUGUUCUACCCAGAUUUAUAUAACCUCCCCUGACCUGUAUAAAUUAGCAUAUGGUGUACGUUGGGAUGAAUUUACAUACGCUCAUGUGACAUCAGUUUCGCACGAUGAAAAUUUGCAUGAUGUCAUGGCUUCCCUGAAUAAAUUUCCAUAAACAUGAAAGAUGUCAUGGCUUUACUCUGCAUGUAUUUGCGGCAUGUAAAUUUGCAUGCAUUGCAUCAAACUGUAUGACGUUAUGGCUUUUCCUGAGUUCAGAUGAUGUCACAGUUUCCCUCCAGAAGAUGUCAUCGCCCUGUGACUCCGCAUCCUGGUUGGGGGCGUGCCCAAGAGUGAUUGACGUCAUUGUGGGCAGGACCUUGACUUGUGUCUGACCCAACCCAUUCACGCCUUCCCCGACACCACCCCACCCCACCCCACCCCAGGGCCUGGCCUUCAUGGUUGUCCAGCCUGCCUUCCCCGAGAUGCUGAGCAAGGCCGCCUGGCCCUGCCUCCAGUACUUCGCCUGACAAAGGUCAGUGGGAUGGGGCCUCGGGGUACCUACUUUCAGAUUUUCAGCUUCUGGGCAGAGCCUUAUGACGAUGGGCGUGGUCUAUUGGUGGCCACGCCCACUGUAAGUGGCAUCAUGAUUGCAGUUCCUGGGAGCAGGGCCAUGAGGUAACCACACCAGGCCAACCACAAGUGAUGUCACUUCCUCUUUUUUGGGAGCUUUAUGGGCAAGACAUCAGGAUGAUGGACAGGGCCAGGCCCACUGGAAGUGAUACCACUUUCAGGAUUUCUGACUUGUGGGUGGGGCUUCUGUGAGGGGCUGCCAGGAAGUCUGGUAUGAUGUCACUUCUGGCCCCACACGCUCCACCCCCAGGAAGACCCAGAGACCCUGACCCUGUGGUAGUGUGUGGCCCCACCCCUUCCACACCCAUUGCAGGCCUCGACCCUUGUCAUCUGAUCCCUGCCCACUUCCUGUCUGAGUCCCAAGGCCAUUGUACACUUCCAGCCAAGCCUACUGUGCCUGGGCAUGACCUCCACUUCCUGUCCCGCCCGUCACCUCAGGCCCUACUAUUUCCUGUCAUGCAAAUUUGUGCAAAUCUAUUCAGGUGACCUCAGUGACUCUGUCCCUGACUCUGCCCCUUGUGAUGACCCCACCACUGACCCGCAGGCCUUGGAGGGGCUGAUCCUGGAGAAGCCAAAGGACCAGGAGGACACCAUGGGGGUGCUGCUCAGGCUGAGUGGGAAACAGAGCAGUACAGCUUCAUCAUGAGGGUAGCCAUUGUCAUCUGGGGCAUCCACGGGGGCCCUGCUCAGGAAGUGGGCACCUUCCAUGAGGAAACGUGUAUGACUUUCUCUCCACGGUAGGAGGAGCUGAUCCAUGACUACUUGGACACCAGCUAAGGAUGGGACAAGGCCGGGGCCUAUGCCAUCCAUGCGUGGGGAGCAAUGCUGGUGGAAGGCGGAUUUUGCAACAUCCUCAAUGCUGCGGGCAUCUCACUGAACCACUUCAGCUGCGAGCUUGCAAGGGUGCUGCCAGGGACAGGAAGUGACAUCGCUGUGGAGGGGACGGCAGGAAGUGAGCUGGAAGAAAAGUGUUUUGAAACUGACCCUACAGAUAAAAAGAGUUCAUUGUGAAUGCGAUACCCUCCUAUACUGUUGUCAGAAGCAACCCUCCAUCUCCAACUCCAAAAAUAAAUGAAAACCAAACCACACAGUUGGAAAUCAGGGGUCUGCAACAACACAAGGAAGCAAGCAACCCGUGAGAAAACACUGGCAUGGAUGAAAACAGACUCACUGGAAAGACACAAAGCAAUGUCAGGUUACACAACAAAAGGCAAUUACAGUCAUAUGAGGGGGUGUUCGAAAAGUCGUAAUUUGAAAACUGUUUUUGGUUGUCCUUUAGUUGGCCUCCUCUGUAAAGUGUGACAGACAUCUCCUGGCAACACUUAAAGUAUCUCAAACCAUCAUUGCCCUGACCUAUGAGUUCUCAGAACAGAAGGACUACUGAACCAGCCGUGGUAGCACAUGCUUGUGAUCCUACAACUCAGAAGACAGAAGAAGAAUUCUAGGUCAGCCUGGGCUAGACAGACAGCAAGACUCUUGUUUUGUUUUGAAAGGCUGGUGAGGUAGUUCAGCGGGUUAACUGCCUGGCGCUAAGCCUAGUGACGUGAGUUUGUGUGCUGUGGAGCUUCUGCAAACCCUGCCCCUGCCAAAUAAAAACUCGUAAUUUAUAACUCA
ensembl:antisense